rnacentral:rRNA from 1 species
GAUGAACGCUGACAGAAUGCUUAACACAUGCAAGUCAACUUGAAUUUGGGUUUUUAACUUAGGUUUGGGUGGCGGACGGGUGAGUAACGCGUAAAGAACUUGCCUCACAGCUAGGGACAACAUUUGGAAACGAAUGCUAAUACCUAAUAUUAUGAUAAUAGGGCAUCCUAUAAUUAUGAAAGCUAUAAGCGCUGUGAGAGAGCUUUGCGUCCCAUUAGCUAGUUGGAGAGGUAACGGCUCACCAAGGCGAUGAUGGGUAGCCGGCCUGAGAGGGUGAUCGGCCACAAGGGGACUGAGACACGGCCCUUACUCCUACGGGAGGCAGCAGUGGGGAAUAUUGGACAAUGGACCGAGAGUCUGAUCCAGCAAUUCUGUGUGCACGAUGAAGUUUUUCGGAAUGUAAAGUGCUUUCAGUUAGGAAGAAACAAAUGACGGUACCAACAGAAGAAGUGACGGCUAAAUACGUG